rnacentral:rRNA from 1 species
GUGAGGAAUAUUGGUCAAUGGGCGGGAGCCUGAACCAGCCAAGUCGCGUGAAGGAAGAAGGAUCUAUGGUUCGUAAACUUCUUUUGCAGGGGAAUAAAGUGCAGGACGUGUCCUGUUUUGUAUGUACCCUGAGAAUAAGGAUCGGCUAACUCCGUGCCAGCAGCCGCGGUAAUACGGAGGAUCCGAGCGUUAUCCGGAUUUAUUGGGGUUAAAGGGUGCGUAGGUGGUUUGAUAAGUCAGCGGUGAAAGUUUGCAGCUUAACUGUAAAAAUGCCGUUGAAACUGUCGGACUUGAGUGUAAAUGAGGUAGGCGGAAUGCGUGGUGUAGCGGUGAAAUGCAUAGAUAUCACGCAGAACUCCGAUUGCGAAGGCAGCUUACUAAGCUACAACUGACACUGAAGCACGAAAGCGUGGGGAUCAAACAGGAUUAGAUACCCUGGUAGUCC